rnacentral:lncRNA from 1 species
CGGGGAUUUUGGAUUGAGAACACAACAAAACACUAACACUCAGGGAUUUGGGAAUAGUCAGACACCUGCUAAUAUCGAUGAUUCGUUUUUAGAUCGAAUCAAUGAAUUGUUAAACGAAUUCAAUCAAUGGCACCAGCGUGACCAAGAAGAACAAUAACGUCGUCUAUCAUUUUAUUUUUAGAUCAUAUGUUACUAAUUUUAUGCUUUAUUGUAGUCCAUGUAUGUUUAUAUACUUAUUC